GAAAUGCGAUAAGUAAUGUGAAUUGCAGAAUUCAGUGAAUCAUCGAAUCUUUGAACGCACAUUGCGCCCGCCAGUAUUAUGGCGGGCAUGCCUGUUCGAGCGUCAUUACAACCCUCAGGCCCCCGGGCCUGGCGUUGGGGAUCGGCGGAAGCCCCCUGCGGGCACAACGCCGUCCCCCAAAUACAGUGGCGGUCCCGCCGCAGCUUCCAUUGCGUAGUAGCUAACACCUCGCAACUGGAGAGCGGCGCGGCCACGCCGUAAAACACCCAACUUCUGAAUGUUGACCUCGAAUCAGGUAGGAAUACCCGCUGAACUUAAGC
rnacentral:misc_RNA from 1 species